AACGAACGCUGGCGGCAGGCUUAACACAUGCAAGUCGAGCGCCCCGCAAGGGGAGCGGCAGACGGGUGAGUAACGCGUGGGAAUCUACCCAUCACUACGGAACAACUCCGGGAAACUGGAGCUAAUACCGUAUACGUCCUUCGGGAGAAAGAUUUAUCGGUGAUGGAUGAGCCCGCGUUGGAUUAGCUAGUUGGUGGGGUAAUGGCCCACCAAGGCGACGAUCCAUAGCUGGUCUGAGAGGAUGAUCAGCCACACUGGGACUGAGACACGGCCCAGACUCCUACGGGAGGCAGCAGUGGGGAAUAUUGGACAAUGGGCGCAAGCCUGAUCCAGCCAUGCCGCGUGAGUGAUGAAGGCCCUAGGGUUGUAAAGCUCUCUCACCGGUGAAGAUAAUGACGGUAACCGGAGAAGAAGCCCCGGCUAACUUCGUGCCAGCAGCCGCAGUAA
rnacentral:rRNA from 1 species